rnacentral:rRNA from 1 species
GUGUCAGCAGCCGCGGUAAUACGUAGGGUCCAAGCGUUAUCCGGAAUCACUGGGCGUAAAGCGUGCGUAGGUGGAUGUUUAAGUGAGAGGUUAAAUCGUGUGGCUCAACCAUAUCGAUGCCUCUCAUACUGGGCAUCUAGAGGACAGCAGAGGCAAGUGGAACUAGUAGUGUAGCAGUGAAAUGCGUAGAUAUUACUAAGAACACCAAUGGCGAAGGCAGCUUGCUGGGCUACUCCUGACACUGAGGUACGAAAGCGUGGGGAGCGAACAGGAUUAGAUACCCGGGUAGUCC